rnacentral:rRNA from 1 species
ACAUUAGAUACCCGGGUAGUCCUAGGCGUAAAUGAUGCGAGUUAAGUNUGGGGGCAUCUACGAGAUGGCCCUGUGCUGUACGGGUAGCCGUUAAACUCGCUGCCUGGGGAGUACGGUCGCAAGGCUGAAACUUAAGGAAUUGGCGGGGAGCACCACAAGAGGUGGAGGCUGCGGUUCAAUUGGACUCAACGCCGGAAAACUCAUCGGGAGCGACAGCAGUAUGAUUGCCAGGUUGAUGACCUUGCUUGACAAGCUG